GACGAACGCUGGCGGCGUGCUUAACACAUGCAAGUCGAACGGAAAGGCCCUGCUUUUGUGGGGUGCUCGAGUGGCGAACGGGUGAGUAACACGUGAGUAACCUGCCCUUGACUUUGGGAUAACUUCAGGAAACUGGGGCGAAUACCGGAUAGGAGCUCCUGCUGCAUGGUGGGGGUUGGAAAGUGUCGGCGGUUGGGGAUGGACUCGCGGCUUAUCAGCUUGUUGGUGGGGUAGUGGCUUACCAAGGCUUUGACGGGUAGCCGGCCUGAGCGGGUGACCGGCCACAUUGGGACUGAGAUACGGCCCAGACUCCUACGGGAGGCAGCAGUGGGGAAUAUUGAACAAUGGGCGGAAGCCUGAUGCAGCAACGCCGCGUGCGGGAUGACGGCCUUCGGGUUGUAACCCGCUUUCGCCUGUGACGAAGCGUGAGUGACGGUAAUGGGUAAAGAAGCACCGGCUAAUUACGUG
rnacentral:rRNA from 1 species